UGGUGGAGUGAUUUGUCUGGUUAAUUCCGAUAACGAACGAGACCUUAACCUGCUAAAUAGUCACACGAACCUUGGUUCGCGUUUGACUUCUUAGAGGGACUAUGGACGUUUAGUUCAUGGAAGUUUGAGGCAAUAACA
rnacentral:rRNA from 1 species